rnacentral:rRNA from 1 species
UGCGUAGGCGGAAUGAUAAGUUAGUGGUGAAAGCCUCCGGCUCAACCGGAGAACUGCCAUUAAUACUGUUAUUCUUGAGUAUAGUUGAAGUGGGCGGAAUGUAUCAUGUAGCGGUGAAAUGCUUAGAUAUGAUACAGAACACCGAUAGCGUAGGCAGCUUGCUAAACUAUAACUGACGCUCAGGCACGAAAGCGUGGGGAGCAAACAGGAUUAGAUACCCUGGUAGUCC